rnacentral:rRNA from 1 species
CAGUAGCCACGGUAAUACGAAGGGGGCUAGCGUUGCUCGGAAUCACUGGGCGUAAAGGGUGCGUAGGCGGGUCUUUAAGUCAGGGGUGAAAUCCUGGAGCUCAACUCCAGAACUGCCUUUGAUACUGAAGAUCUUGAGUUCGGGAGAGGUGAGUGGAACUGCGAGUGUAGAGGUGAAAUUCGUAGAUAUUCGCAAGAACACCAGUGGCGAAGGCGGCUCACUGGCCCGAUACUGACGCUGAGGCACGAAAGCGUGGGGAGCAAACAGGAUUAGAUACCCGCGUAGUCCCUGUCUCUUAUAC